CCUGAAGUUUGUUGGAGCAGUUAUUCUUCUAUACACACCAGAUCCAAAUGGUUCCUCAGAGCCCCCUCCUCAUCAAGGAAGGCUUGUGGAGUUUAACAUAUCAUGGAUUCGCAAGGGUCAUCCUGUACUCAACUUUAAAGAUUUGUCAAUUGAUGCUAGUCAUAGUUUAGGUCUCCUGCUUGAUCAACUCAGGUUUCCAACUGUGAAUUCUCUCAGUAACUCGGUGAUUGUUGUGCUAAUUAACAGCCUUUUAGCGAUUGCAAA